rnacentral:rRNA from 1 species
UACGGGGGGGGCAAGCGUUGUUCGGAAUUACUGGGCGUAAAGGGCUCGUAGGCGGCCAACUAAGUCAGACGUGAAAUCCCCUCGGCUUAACCGGGGAACUGCGUCUGAUACUGGAUGGCUUGAGUUCGGGAGAGGGAUGCGGAAUUCCAGGUGUAGCGGUGAAAUGCGUAGAUAUCGUAAGGAAGACCAGUGGCGAAGGCGGGUCUCGUGGACAGUUCCUGACGCUGAGGCACGAAGGUCAGGGGGAGCAAACGGG